rnacentral:rRNA from 1 species
UACGUAGGGUGCGAGCGUUAAUCGGAAUUACUGGGCGUAAAGUGUACGCAGGCGGCCGCGCAAGUCGAGUGUGAAAGCCCCGGGCUUAACUUGGGAAUUGCGCUCGAAACUACGUGGCUGGAGUGUGGCAGAGGAAGGUGGAAUUCCAGGUGUAGCGGUGAAAUGCGUAGAGAUCUGGAGGAACACCGAUGGCGAAGGCAGCCUUCUGGGCCAACACUGACGCUCAUGCACGAAAGCGUGGGGAGCAAACAGG